rnacentral:rRNA from 1 species
GAUGAACGCUAGCGACAGGCCUAACACAUGCAAGUCGAGGGGCAGCAUAAAGGUAGCAAUACUUUGGUGGCGACCGGCGCACGGGUGAGUAACACGUAUGCAACCUACCUGUAAGAGGGGAAUAACCCGGAGAAAUUCGGACUAAUACCGCAUAAUACCGCUUAGCUGCAUGGCUGAGUGGUUAAACAUUUAUGGCUUACAGAUGGGCAUGCGUAUGAUUAGCUAGUUGGUGAGGUAACGGCUCACCAAGGCAACGUAUCAUUAGGGGUUCUGAGAGGAAGGUCCCCCCACACUGGUACUGAGACACGGACCAAAUUCUUCCGGAAGCCACCAGUGAAGAAAUUUUGUCCAUUGGCCAAAACCUGAACCAGCCAGUCGGUGGAAGGAAGAAGGUUCUAUGGAAUGUAAACUUUCUUUUGUAAGGGAAUAAAAAAGGUCACGUGUGGCCUUAUUGUAUGUACUUUACGAAUAAGGAUCGGCUAACUCCGUGCCCAGCAGCCCGCGGUAAUACGGAGGAUCCAAAGCGUUAUCCGGGAUUUAUUGGGUUUAAAGGGUGCGUAGGCGGACCCGUAAGUCAGUGGUGAAAGUUUGCAGCUCAACUGUAAAAUUGCCAUUGAAACUGCGGAUCUUGAGUGUAAAUGAGGUAGGCGGAAUGUGUUGUGUAGCGGUGAAAUGCUUAGAUAUAACACAGAACACCAAUUGCGAAGGCAGCUUACUAGGAUACAACUGACGCUGAGGCACGAAAGCGUGGGGAUCAAACAAGAUUAGAUACCCUGGUAGUCCACGCAGUAAACGAUGAAUACUAGCUGUAUGCGAUAUACUGUAUGUGGCAAAGCGAAAGCGUUAAGUAUUCCACCUGGGGAGUACAUUCGCAAGAAUGAAACUCAAAGGAAUUGACGGGGGCCCGCACAAGCGGAGGAACAUGUGGUUUAAUUCGAUGAUACGCGAGGAACCUUACCCGGGCUUGAAAGUUAGUGACCGACCCUGAAAGGGGUCUUUCCGAAAGGACACGAAACUAGGUGCUGCAUGGCUGUCGUCAGCUCGUGCCGUGAGGUGUUGGGUUAAGUCCUGUAACGAGCGCAACCCCUAUCAUUAGUUGC